rnacentral:rRNA from 1 species
UCGAGGAUCUUCGGCAAUGGGCGCAAGCCUGACCGAGCGACGCCGCGUGUGCGACGAAGGCCUUCGGGUUGUAAAGCACUGUCGAGGGGGAGAAAAGCCGCAAGGCGUGAUCUAUCCCUGGAGGAAGCACGGGCUAAGUUCGUGCCAGCAGCCGCGGUAAGACGAACCGUGCGAACGUUGUUCGGAAUCACUGGGCUUAAAGGGCGCGUAGGCGGGCGGCCGCGUCCGGGGUGAAAUCCCACGGCUCAACCGUGGAACGGCCUCGGAUACGGGCGGCCUCGAGGGGGGUAGGGGCAUCUGGAACUGUGAGUGGAGCGGUGAAAUGCGUUGAUAUUCACAGGAACUCCGGUGGCGAAGGCGAGGUGCUGGACCCCAUCUGACGCUGAGGCGCGAAAGCCAGGGGAGCGAACGG